UAUAUUAUAGUUUAUUAAAAUAUUAAAUUGCAAAUUUAUUGAUAUCAAAGAUAUUUGAUUAGUAUAU
rnacentral:tRNA from 1 species